CUGUGGGCCGCGUCGGGGGCGCGGCUUCCGGCGGGCGCGCGCCUCCCUCAGGCGCUUCUGGCGCCUCUAGCAGGGCGCCAGGGCGUCCACCUCCCGCUUCGCUCCCGAUGUGAGGACGAACGAGCGCCGGCGCUGGGCGCGCGCUGUCGGAGACGCGUGCUCGGGGGUGCGGGCUGUCGGGGGCGCGCGCCGUCGGGCCCCACCGGGGCUGUUUCGCCACAGAAGAAGUAGAGGAGUCUGGGAAAACACGCUCACCUGGGGGACGGAGCUAAUUUGCAUGUUCUGGGAACUCUGGAAAGCCAGGAGUGACGUGCCCUCCAGGGAGCCAGGGGCUUGCCAUGCCCACUGGCCCUCCACCAGACCUGCACCUCGGGAACACCUGGGAGCUUGAAAAACUCAGAAGCCUGGACCACCCAAGUGUCCAUCAGCGAUGAAUGGGACCCUGAGGUCAGGGAGCCUUGGUACCGUGCCCACAACAUACAGUGGCCCAGUCAGGACUCAAACCCAGGACCGUCCAGCCGGGCAGCCGCUCUCCUCAGAUCUUUGGGUUUGAAAGGAAGAGGGAGAUCUGAGACUCAGACACAGAGCAAGAAGGCCACGUGAGCAGACAGAGCCUGGAGGGAUGCGGCCACAAGCUAAGAGCCACCAGAAGCUGGAAAAGACAGGAAGGGUCCUGCCCGAGCGCCUCCAGAGGGAGCGUGGCCCUGCUGACACGCUGAUUUCAGACCUCUACCCUCUAAACCGAGCACGAGUGACAAAGCAGUGGCUUCAAUAAUCACCAGGUGUCGUCGUACGUCAUCCCGCGUGGUUGCUGUGCGGCAGGAACCUGGCCCCGGGCACGGCGGGAACGGCUUGGUUCUGAUUCAUGACUGAGGUCUCAGCCAGGAGACCCCGAGGCUGGGCUGGGCCAUCUGAAGGGACACAGGCCGAUGCUGGCUGUUGGCUGCGGCUUAGCUGGGGCUGCGGAAGGAACACCCGCGUGUGGCCUCCCCACGUGGUUAGGGUUCCUUACAACGUGGUGGCCGGAUUCUACUGGGAGCAUCCGGAGAGAAGGGGAGACAAAGAGGAGAGAGGGAGCGAGGGAAGGGGAUGCAUGUCUUACGACACCUCGGAAGCCGUGAGCAUCAUUCCCGCUGCGGUCUGUUGGUCCAAGAAGUUACAAAGGUCCGCCCGUGUUCAAGAUGCCAGCAUGGACCCCACCUAUCUCUCUGUGGAGGAACAUCAAUGUCACGUCCAAAGAAAGGAUGCGAGAUGGGAUAUAUUUUGCUGCAGCUAUUCUGAGUCGAAAGCCAGAAAACACAUGCCAUUCAACUGUCAGUGGACACGGAGAUGGUCACCUUCAUCCAGGUGACACCGCACCACCUGCUCUGCUUUUCCCUGCAGUGGUCGGUCACACCGGGGUCAGGACCAAGGGUGCAUGCCCUGCACAAGGGCCCGAUGAAAGGCUACUUCUGAGUCCAUAAGGUAACAGAAGAACGUCCUAGGUUACAGUUAAUAAAGGUCAUUGUUACUGGAUGUGAACAAAGCCGGCCUUCAUUUCUUUAUUUGGUGGCCCAUUUGGUGAAGCACUUAAGAAACGCCCAGGCCAACAUACACAUAUAAUGGUUUUAAUUACAUCCUGUGAAUUUAUUCUUCCAGAGAGGAAUAUUUCUCAGGGAAAUGUCCAUAAAAGCAACUUUCACAGCAGUGUGAUUGUGUGUGUUUCCUACAGGAAGCCUGUUUAGUUUAAGUCCCACUCUGAGUACAACUUUUUACAAAGACAGGGGCCCGAGAAGGCUGCCAACAGCCCCAGAGAUGGUGAUGUCAUGGCCUGGGACACCAGGGAUACUGGGCGUGAGGCCUGCCCCCCCAUGAAAAGAAGGCAGAGUGGGUGAGGGCAGAGUGGUUCCCACUGACUCACUCUCUGGGCAACCUUUAGUGAGUUUGCAGGGUUAUUUCCACACUCAAAAUAAGCUUGACAGGAUGGGCAAAUAUAGAUACAACAUCGUAUGCAACAAUUUGAAAGUACAGAUUCUUUUCAAAAUAACGUGAGAAGAACAAGUGUAGGCAAGUAUGGUGGUUCCUCAACACAUUAAACAGAGAAAUACCAUAUGAUCCAGCAAUUCCAAUUCUGGGUAUGUAUCCAAAAAAAAUGGAAAGCAAGCAUGCAGAUAGAUAUUUGCACACCCACACUCAUAGCGGCAUUAUUCACGAUAGCCAAAAGGUGAAGGCAGCCCAGGUAUCCACUGACAAGUGAGUGGGUGAACAAAGUGGGGUCCAUCCACAGCACGGAAUGGUAUCAGCCUUGAAAAGAAACGAAAUUCUGACACAGGCUACGACACGGAUGAACCUUGAAGACACCGUGCUGAGUGAAAGGAGCCAGUCACAAAACGACAAAUAGUGCCUGACUCCACUUAUAUGAGGUCCCUGGAAGAUUCAGAUUCAUCGACACAGAAAGUAAAAUGAGUGUCGCCAGCGCUGGAGGAGGAGGGAUGGGGAGUUAGUGUUUAAUGGGGACAGAGUUCCGUUCGGGAAGAUGCAAGAGUUCUGGCGAUGGAUGGUGGUGACGGUUGCACAACUAUGUGAAUGUGCUUAACGUCACUGAA